AACGCACGAGACCUGCGGACCUGCGGAGGGAUCAUUAAUGAGAAGCUGCCCCUCGUGGGUAGACCUCCCACCCUCUGUGAACUUACCUUUGUUGCUUUGGCAGGCCCGUCCUCUGGACCGCCGGCUUCGGCUGGCCCGUGCCUGCCAGAGGAUUCCAAACCCUGUCUGUCAGUGCUGUCUGAGUCUAUAUGAAAUCGUUAAAACUUUCAACAAUGGAUCUCUAGAUCGGAAGAGCACACG
rnacentral:misc_RNA from 1 species